rnacentral:rRNA from 1 species
CACGUAGGGGGCGAGCGUUGUCCGGAUUUAUUGGGCGUAAAGAGCUCGUAGGUGGCUCGAUAAGUCGGGUGUGAAAUUUCGAGGCUCAACCUCGAAACGCCACCUGAUACUGCUGUGGCUAGAGUCCGGUAGGGGAGAGUGGAAUUCCUGGUGUAGCGGUGAAAUGCGCAGAUAUCAGGAAGAACACCCGUGGCGAAAGCGGCUCUCUGGAACGGUACUGACGCUGAGACGCGAAAGCGUGGGGAGCGAACAGG